CGAUUGCCCAGGGUUAGAUUUACAUUUUUGGCGAAAAAUUUGCAAAAAUUGCAAAUGUGGAAAAGAAAGCCAUGAUGUCCAAGAUGAUGAUAUUUAUGGAUAUGCUCAGUUCCAAUUACUUGGAAGUAAACCAAAUAAGUGCAACAAAAUUGUGUUACCAGGUAAAAAAGAAGAAAUUGAGUUAGAAUGGACACCAAAAGGGCAAAAAGAAGCCAUCGAAAAGUAUUUAAAAACCCUCCCUGAUGAAUUACUCCCUGUAAAGGGUUCAGCAGCUGCUCAAGAACGAAAACAACUCCUUCAAAAGCAAAUUCCUUUACACGAUAUUGAUCCAAGUUUAUGUGAUUCAUUAACAGAGGAUGAAGUUAAAUUAA